rnacentral:rRNA from 1 species
UCAGACGAUGCGUCAUGCAUAUCAAUAAGCGGAGGAAAAGAAACUAACAAGGAUUCCCUCAGUAACGGCGAGUGAAGCGGGAAGAGCUCAAAUUUGAAAUCUUGAAAGGUCACCUUUCACGAAUUGUAGUUUAAAGAAGUGUUUUCUGUUACGAUCGUAAUAUAAGUUCUUUGGAAUAGGACAUCACAGAGGGUGAGAAUCCCGUCUAUGAUUACGAUUUGUAGCUUUGUGAUACACUUUCAAAGAGUCGGGUUGUUUGGGAAUGCAGCCCAAAACGGGAGGUAAAUUUCUUCUAAGGCUAAAUAUUGGCGAGAGACCGAUAGCGAACAAGUACCGUGAGGGAAAGAUGAAAAGAACUUUGAAAAGGAGAGUUAAAUAGUACGUGAAAUUGUCAAAAGGGAAGCGUUUGACACCAGUGUUGUUUUCUGAAAAUCAACCUCUGUUAGCUUUAUGCAUGUUUGUUUAGACCUAAUCAGCUAUCUUGCACUGUUCUAUUGUUUGCAGUGGUGCACUUUUCAGUUUACAGGUCAACAUCAGUUUUUUUUACCGUAAAAAAGUUAAAGAAAGGUAGCUCAUGGCUCCGGUCGUGAGUGUUAUAGUCUUUUUCCUAUGCGGUAGGAGAGACUGAGGUCUGCAGUGUAGGCUAUUUGGCUAGAUACUCAGGUGCUAUGUGAUACCAUUUCAUAAACAACUUGUUGAUUAUGUUUUGUCUAUUGCAUACUCGCUUGUACUAUCAUACCUACGCUUAGGAUGUUGAAGACUCUACAGAGAUA